GACGUAGGGGACGAGCGUUGUCCGGAUUUAUUGGGCGUAAAGCGCGCGCAGGCGGUUACGCAAGUCGGGAGUGAAAAUCCGGGGCUCAACCCCGGACCUGCACCCGAUACUGCGUGACUAGAGGUAGGUAGGGGAGAUCGGAAUUCCUGGUGUAGCGGUGAAAUGCGCAGAUAUCAGGAGGAACACCGGUGGCGAAGGCGGCUUCCUGGACCGACACUGACGCUGAGGCGCGAAAGCUAGGGGAGCAAACGGG
rnacentral:rRNA from 1 species